ensembl:lncRNA
GUAGAGUCCAGUGUGUGGGUAGAGUCCAGUGUGUGGGUAGAGUUUAGUGUGUGGGUAGAGUCCAGUGUGUGGGUAGAGUUUAGUAUGUGGGUAGAGUCCAGUGUGUGGGUAGAGUCCAGUAUGGGUAGAGUCCAGUGUGUGGGUAGAGUCCUGUAUGGGUAGAGUCCAGUGUGUGGGUAGAGUCCUGUAUGGGUAGAGUCCAGUGUGUGGGUAGUGUCCAGUGUGUGGGUAGAGUCCAGUCUGUGGGGUAGAGUUCAGUAUGGGUAGAGCCCAGUGUGUGGGUAGAGUCCAGUAUGGGUAGAGUCCAGUGUGUGGGUAGAGUCCAGUACGGGUAGAGUUUAGUGUGUGGGUAGAGUCCAGUGUGUGGAUAGAGUUUAGUGUGUGGGUAGGUUCCAUGUGGGGUAGAGUCCAGUGUGUGGGUAGAGUCCAGUGUGUGGGUAGAGUCCAUGUGUUGGGUCGAGUCCAGUGUGCGGGUCGAGUCCAGUGUGCGGGUAGAGUCCAGUGUGCGGUUAGAGUCCAGUGUGCGGGUAGAGUCCAGUGUGCGGGUAGAGUCCAGUGUGCGGGUAGAGUCCAGUGUGCGGGUAGAGUCCAGUGUGCGGUUAGAGUCCAGUGUGCGGGUAGAGUCCAGUGUGUGGGUAUCAGUACAAGAGUUAGUGCAAAAAAGGUCAAUGCAGGUAGUCCGAGUAACCAUUUCAUUAGCUAAUUAGCAGUCUUGUUUAGCGGCCUUAUGGCUUGGGGGUAGAAGCUGUUCAGGGUCCUGCUGGUUUCAGACUUUGUGCACUGGUACCGCUUGCCAUUCAGUAGCAGAGAAAACA